rnacentral:rRNA from 2 species
UUUAGUAUUACCAUUGGUAGUAACAAAAUUGCUACUCCUAGCUUAGCAUGCAAGUUCCAUUGACUUGGACUAAUUGCAAAUGACUUGGGUUCUGGGUAAAACUGGGGCCCUUGUUGAGCCAUAGUGGGUGAAAGCCCUAUACCGUGCAAGCAUUGGUAAUACGAAUCGUAGCUGGUGUGUUAAAGCAUCAACUUUGUUAGAGUCGAGUUGCUUGAGAGUGCAACUUAAAGUGGGAGGUAAACUACUCCUAAGGCUAUGUAAUACGGCUACGACACCGAUAGCAAACAAGUACCGUGAGGGAAAGUUG